rnacentral:lncRNA from 1 species
UUUAUUUUAACCUCCUGGUUAAUCUAACAUUGGGUACCACAUGUAAUAAAUUGGCAUUUUAUUUUAGAGAAUUGUUUUAGCACUUGAGGGCCACGUGUAAUCACGGAAAAGGGUUUCCCCCCGCUUUAGAUUAUAAAGCAACGUCCAACCGAUACAACCAGCUUGCUGGGGCCGCAACACAAACAAGCCCAAAAGAAAAAGGGAGAGAAAGAAAAAAGAAACAAAUGCCGACGCUGGCAGCUCAACUAAGCAAAGAUGACCAACACCCGCUGCACCCACCGGAGAAGAACCACCGCCCGCCAAGCACUCCGAAGCCUCGCGCACCAAGCAACAUCUUCAGGAAGAAAUGCGACGACGACGCCGCUGCUGCCCGGACAAGUCCUAGGGAGGGCCACAUGUAAUAGACUCAAAGUGGAGGUGGGUAGUACUAAAGAGGGAUUAGUCCCUAAUUGAUUUUGGUCCGGCCUGGUGGCACAACCAGCCGUGAGGUUGUGCACACACACGCACAUAGCAUGGCCAAGGCCAUGGACAUUUGUAGCGGCUAGAGCAGCAGCUAAGUAGCGGCAGCAGGAGGUAGUAGCAACGGCAAGCAAGCAGUACCAGCAGCAGCAAGCAGGCGACAAGAGCAAUACGCUGGACAGCACAGCCAGCAGAGUAGCGGUGAGCAGAGCGGGGAGGAGUGGCAGCAGCAGUAGUGAGCAGCCACAGUAGCUAGGCGCGGCACGACGCUAGUAGCAGAAGCAGUGCAGGCAGCAGCCGCAUGAGGAGUAGCCAUCAGUGGCAACAGUAGUAGGAAGCAACAGUAGGAAGUAGGCAACAGCAACAGAUCUUCAGCGGCAGCAGCCAGCAGCUGCAAAGCAGAAGGUAGUGGCCACGAGUAGCAGCAGUGAGAGCAUGCGGCAAGAGAAGCAGUUGACACAGGCGGGCACGAUGACCACGGGCGUUGGCGUGCGUAGAUGCGCCCGCGCACGGUGUGCAUCGGCAGCCGGAGCAGCGCGAGCAACAAGCACGCACGUAUGUACGUGUACACACGAACUAGGAUGAGCUCGCGACGGCAAACGACAACCAAAUCAAGGCGGGGGAAGGGGGAAUCUGUAGGAGAAACUCACCAAGGAGCCGCAGACGUGGUUGGGGAGGCCGGGGACGGUCGGGGUCGAGCGAAUCGAUGAUGG